GCACGAAAACUCAGUUUCACACAAAAACAAUACAAUCACUUCAAAAGAGAGAGGGGAGAAACUAGGAAAGGUUGAUUCCCAAUUGACUGAAAUGAUUGAUCAAGAAAUGAAUUACUGGCAAAUGCUACUACAAAGAGUUGUUGUGGUCAUAAAAGCUCUAGCUUCACGAGGAUUGCCAUUUAGGGGGUCAACAGAGUUAUUUGGUUCCAACUCGAAUGGAAACUACAUGAUGUUACUAGAAGUCAUUGCUCAAUUUGAUCCCUUUUUGCGUGAACAUAUCAGAAAGUAUGGAAACCCUGGUAAAGGACAUAUUUCCUAUCUUUCAUCCACUAUUUGUGAUGAGUUUAUUGAGCUCCUUGGCAAGAAAGUUACAGACUAUAUAUUAGAGGAGGCAUCAUAUAUCCCGUGUGCAGAACACUCUCUAAACCUAGUUGGGACUCACGCUGUAGAUUCUUGUAUUGAGGCAGUGUCACUAUUUACUCUGCUUCAAGAGCUGUAUAAUUUUUUUUCUAGCUAUACACAUAGAUGGGCGGUGUUAAAUAAUUGCAAAAACACAACACUAACAACCAAAAGCCCUUCCACAACAAGAUGGUCUGCUAGACAUGACGCUUUAAGAGCCUUACAAGAAGAAUGGCCUGCAAUUAUCAGAGCUCUAGAAAUAUUGGAAAGUGACACAGAUCAGAAGGCUAACACUCGAGCAGAAGCUAAAGGUCUACUAAGCAGAUUGAACCGCUUGGAAACAGCUAUAAUGGUCAAGUUAUGGGGUACUAUUCUUUUCAGGCUCAAUAAGGUUAACAAAUAUGUGCAAAAUGAAGACACUGAUGCAUUGGCCGUAACAGAAGUUUUCAACUCACUGAUAUCCUACUUUGAAGAGCUCAGAAAUCAGUUUGACAUUUAUGAAAACAAAGCACUUGAUGUUAGUGAAACCAAAGUUUAUGAGUAUGAUAACAGACGUAAGAAAACAAGAAAACUUCAAGAUGAUGAGACUCGAGAUGGCGAAGUUUCUUUUACUACUGGAAGAGACAGCUUUAGAGUUAACACAUUUAUUCCGAUAAUUGAUAAAGUUUAACAAGAACUUACAGCAAGAAUGCAUACCUAUGAGGAAUUUGUUACAAGGUUCGUUGCAAUAAUCAAACUCUCAGAUCUCACGACAGAAGAAAUUGAAGUUGAGGUUAACAAACUUCUCAGUGUAUUUGAAAAUGAUUUAGAGCCGACAAUCUUUGAUGAACUUGUCCACCUGAGGUCGCACAUGUCAACAAACAAAAUAGAAAAUAAAAAUAAAAAGCCGUUGUCUUUGUACAAGUGGAUCAUAGGAAACAAAUUGGAAGAUAUCUAUCCAAAUGUCGAAAUUUUGCUAAGAAUGUUUAUUUGUACUCCAGUAACAAACGCAUCGGCCGAGAGGUCAUUUUCCUGCUUAAAAAGGAUCAAGGAAUACCAUAGGUCAAACAUGACCCAAACAAAGCUCAACUCUCUCGCUCUCCUCAAUAUUGAAAAUGAUGUAACCAAAACAUUGGAUUUCACCAACACCAUCCAAUCGUUUGCCUGGUCCAAAGCCAGGAAGAGGAAAUUUUAAAACGAUGUUAAAAGUCAUUUCGUUAGUAAAUACCGUGUUGUGCUAAUAAAUGUACUUACUUACUUAAUUAUACAGUAUUGUUUGUGUUAAUUAA